rnacentral:sRNA from 1 species
GGUGAACCUGCGGAAGGAUCAUUACCGAUGUGAAAAAUCCAAGGUUAAACAUCAUUAACCAGUGUGAACUGUGAAACAACUCUUUAGGGGUCGGCGCAGGCGUGUGUCGUUAAAUGGCGGAUAGGUUCCUUCCGCCAGCCCCGCCAUUGUGUUUAUGAUAUCACUUUGAACGUUUAAGACUGAGAACGUAUGUAUCAUGCAUUAAAUGUAUGAGAAAGAAGGAAAGAAAAAUGAGAGACAACUUUUGACGGUGGAUCUCUUGGCUCACGUAUCGAUGAAGAACGCAGCCAGCUGCGAUAUGUAGUGUGAAUUGCAGAAUUCAGUGAAUCAUUGAAUCUUUGAACGCAAAUGGCGCUCUUGGGUUCUCCCAGGAGCAUGUCUGUCUGAGUGUCGGAUUUUAUCGAACGCACUCGUGAGUGCGGUAUUGAGGUGUCACGGCGUGUUAGCAAGCAAGCAAGCAUUAAAUCGCCGUGUCCCUUGAAGGACAGCAGCAUUGGACUCGCAUUCUCUAUUGAAACUUGAGUGCGAAGGCUAAAGAUAAUAUUUUCCUUCGCCCAAACAUGCAAUAGCAGAAACAAAAUCCAAUCAAAGCGGUGACAGACAAUGACAACAUCAAAUCUUGACCUCAGAUCAGGCAAGGCUACCCGCUGA